rnacentral:rRNA from 1 species
CGUGUAGGCGGUUGGUCAAGUCGGGUGUGAAAGCCCGAGGCUCAGCCUCGGAAGUGCAUCCGAAACUAGCCAGCUAGAGCGCGAUAGAGGAGGGUGGAAUUCCUGGUGUAGCGGUGAAAUGCGUAGAUAUCAGGAGGAACACCGGCGGCGAAGGCGGCCCUCUGGAUCGUUGCUGACGCUGAGACGCGAAAGCGUGGGGAGCAAACAGGAUUAGAUACCCUGGUAGUCCACGCCUUAAACGAUGGGUACUAGGUGUUCGGGGUGUUGACCCCCUAAGUGCCGCAGUUAACGCAUUAAGUACCCCGCCUGGGGACUACGGCCGCAAGGUUAAA